UACGAAGGGGGCGAGCGUUGUUCGGAAUUACUGGGCGUAAAGGGCGCGCAGGCGGCUCGACAAGUCAGAUGUGAAAGCCCCGGGCUCAACCUGGGAACGGCAUUUGGGACUGUCGGGCUAGAGUCCGGGAGAGGAGAGUGGAAUUCCUGGUGUAGCGGUGAAAUGCGCAGAUAUCAGGAAGAACACCCGUGGCGAAAGCGGCUCUCUGGAACGGUACCGACGCUGAGACGCGAAAGCGUGGGGAGCGAACAGG
rnacentral:rRNA from 1 species